rnacentral:rRNA from 1 species
UACGUAGGGUGCAAGCGUUGUCCGGAAUUAUUGGCGUAAAGAGCUCGUAGGCGGUCUGUUGCGUCGGCUGUGAAACCCGAGGCUCAACCUCGGCCUGCAGCCGAUACGGGCAGACUAGAGGUUCGGCAGGGGAGACUGGAAUCCUGGUGAUAGCGGUGAAAUGCGGCAGACUAUCAGGAGGAACACCGGUGGGCGAAAGGCGG